rnacentral:pre_miRNA from 1 species
GGCGUACUCCCUCCGUCCAACAGAAGAUGUCUCAAGUUUGUCAAAAUUUAGAUGUAUCUAGAUAUGACUUAGUGUAUUUAUGCAUUCAAAUUUAAUCGAAGUUAAGACAUCUUUUGUUGGAUAGAGGAAAUACAAG